rnacentral:lncRNA from 1 species
UGUGCCCAGGACCAGCUUACAAAAUAAAAUCCAGGCAGAUCCUUUACCGUCAACACAGGAGAUAAACCAGUGUGGCCUUUCCCAGAGAAAGCCAUCUGAGAAGGGUCAUCGUGUUCAAUCCGAUGUUUUGAGGUUAGCUUCCCUUGCGACAGUGACUCAGAGCAAGCUUUAGUCUGACACCUUGACUUUUCUUACAGAAGCGAUCUGUGUGGUUCCUCCUGUACCGCAGGCUUCUAAGUAGUUUCUGGGAGUGUUUGUAGAUGAGAAGUGGCUCCGCUUUCUGACCAUGGAAGGGUAGAGAAAUGUCUCUUUCUUGAAUCUUUCUGGAGGCUUUGGUUUCCUUUGUGGCAUUCAAAGACGAAGCCACAAGAAAGAACAAAAUUUAGGCUUAAUCCUAAAACUCAUCUAUCAAAUUUUUAAAUCCCCAAAGAUUGGCUGGGUGGUAGUGAGGCUCAAUGGUAAGGGGCAGUGCUCUUUUAUGCUGGCAUGCUAAUGAUCAUUUUAUCCUUUGCAUAAUUGUGACAGUCAAAGAAUGCUUACCUUCUUUUUAGAUGGAGAUGUGAGUUCAAAUUCUGUUUUACUAGCCGUCAUGUAGACUCUCAUCCAGGGUUCCCAUUUAGGCCCUGGAUCUUUGUUCUGUUCUCAACUUACUGAGAAGGAAAGUGGCCAUGCCCCAUUACCUGGUCAGGCUGUGAAUUCAGUCUCUCCUUUUCCAGUCUCUUGUUAAUUUUCAGCACACACAGCUGGAGCAUAGUAAGACUCAAUAAAACCCUCACAGGCCUCAAGCAAUGAAAAAAAAAAGCAGCUUAAAAAUUCUCUGCCAUGGAAGCUAAUUGUGCUUCCAUCUUAAUUAAUUGCUCCAAUUAGCUCCACUCUUCUCAGCUCUGCUACUUUAUAACAGUGUCAUCUGGGAUGCUCCUGCAAAUUACAGCAAUGGCCAGGUACUUGUCAAUUAAAACACUUACUAUGUGCAAUUAGCUUCUCCUCACAAUUUUAUGGAUACCCCGAGGAGUGAGUGUGGCAAGGAGCCUGGGCAAAGGCCUGAUACCAGAUAGACAGAGAGUAUCAUGGUGUCUCCAUUCCUAUCAUUUUGGAAGCACAUAAGUUUAUCUAUAAAGUUUAUUGUGAAGCAAAUUAUCUGAACAGCACAAUGAGCCACCUUGACUCUGCAUUUGAGUGAUCUGAACAGAUUCUUUAUUAUACUUUAACAAACAACACAAACACCAGGAGAUGCUGGGCAGUUAAGGAAAAGCUGCCUUUCAAACAUCUCAACUAAGUAUCUUUAACAGGGUAGGAGAACUGGCAAUUAUCAUAUUUGUUCAUUUAUUACAUCUGGGAUUUCUUAGGAUCACUAAUAAUGAAGAUGAGGUACAAAUUAAAUUAUUUAGGUAUAAAUUGGGACUCAUGAAACGUCUUUUUUUUUUCUCAAACAUUUAGCCUUUUCCUUGGAAAGCCCGAGAUUUUGUGAUAGGAAGCCAUCUUGCUUUCACAUAAAGCCAAGGCAGUAUGGUGACUGAGGACUUAGAAUUCUCUCUACAAUGACAGUCUUUAAAUUUGUGUGAAUUACGUGAGUGCUUAUCAGCAUGCAGCAAACUUGACUAGCUAACUCAAGCGUAUUCACCGAGUCAAUGACAGGUCAAAGGAACAAACCGUAGCUAGUGGUCCAGAAGUCUGUCCUUCUUCCCGAAUUAAGGCAGCCAUUUUGGUUAAAUUAACCAUCGACUUUCAUCUUUCAUUGGUGUGUCUUGAGAGAUGGGUACUGGCCCUCAACGCUUCUUGAGAGCAAUUACUUUUACUGUGGCACUCUUCAAAUUUUUUUUUUCCUCUCUCUGUAGCUCAGUAAUUUUAUCGGGACGGACCCAGGUAAUGAUUUCUUCGUUUUAUCUGGAGUUCACAGCAGGUCUUGAAUCUGAAGAUAGUUGGUUUUCCUUGCUUUGCAGUGUGCUCAGCCACUUCCACCUCAGAUGUUGUGUUGGCUUCAGCCUUCCUGCCUUUCUCUUCAGAUCUCCAGAGUAGUUUGUCUUCUCUCUGCCUCCUCUACUCUCCUACUUUCUUUAAACCUACAUCUUCCACAUCUUGUGUCUCUGUGCCUCCAUGUGAACUGCAUUCGUCCUCCUGUUCACUAAUAUUCUCCUCCUUAAGCCUCUCUAUGUGUGUACAGAUUAGGAUAAAGCGGAGGUGCUCACCCUCCCUAAUGCUGCGGCCCUUUAAUACAUUCCUCCUGUUGUGGUGGCCCAUAGCCAUAAAGUUGUUUCAUUGCUGCUUUGUAACUGUAAUUUUGCUACUGUUAUGAAUCAUAAUGUAAAUAUAUAAUAUGCAGGAUUUGUAAUAUGCAACCUUUGUCAAAAAGUCAUUCAAUCCCUGAAGAUAUUACGACCUAGAGGUUGAGAACAUCUGCUCUGAAUGGAUACCACCUUCAUUUUGGUUAUUAGUUUGAUUUCCAGUCAUUGAAUUUUUUUACUUAGGUGUUUUUAAAGCUGAUGUGUCCUUAAAACAAUUUCGAUUUUGAGCCCAAUUCACAACCUAGUUGUUUAUCCUUCUGUAAAAGUGAGCAAAGUGCUGUUACUAUGCUGAGUUUCCUUUCUAAGCAUGUCACACCAGAGAAUGUCAGAAGUACCAAAGUGCCAAAUAAAAUCCUAUUUGAAUUGGUUCAAAGACAUCCCUUUCUUCUCAUCUCCUUAGGCCAACAUCUGUUUCAAUUCUACAUCUGUAUGUAGGUGUAUUUUAUAAGUGCGAAUAUGUGUAUGUGUGUGUCCUUUAUAUGUAUGUUUGAGUUUGUCUGUGCAUUUGUGUGGAGGUUAGAGGUCAAUACUGAAUGUUCCCCAAGGUUACUUCCUAUUCUAUUUUUUUUCUUUUUGAGACAUGUUCUCUCAAUGGAUUUGGAGUUUACCAUUUCAGCUAGGUUAGCAGGCCACUGUGCUCCAGGCAUUCUACUGGAGAAAAUAUGCUAAAAAAAAAAAAAAAGUAUUCAUUUUACAUACAGCUCACUGUCCCCCUCCCAGUCAUCCCUUCCCACAAUCCUUCCACAAUUCCCUUCCCCUUCUUCUCUGAGUGGGUGGGGGCCUCCCUGAGGGGACCCCCUCCCCCAGCACUUCAAGUCUCUGCAAGGCUAGGGCAUUUCCUCUCCCACUGAGACCAGACAAGGCAGCCCAGCUAGUAGAACAUAUCCCUCAUACAGGCAGCAGCUUUUGGGAUAGCCCUCAUUCCAGUUGUUCGGGACCCACAUGAAGACUAAGCUGCCCAUCUGCUACAAAUGAGCAGGAGGCCUAGAUCCAGCAUGUGUAUGUUCUUUGGUUGGUGAUUCAGACUUUGAGGGCCCCAGGGGUCCAGGUUAGUUGACUCUGUCAGUCUUCCUAUGGAGUUCCUAUCCCCUUUGGGGUCAUCGAUCUUUCCUUCUCUUCUUCUGUGAGAGUCCCCAAGCUCCAUCCACUGUUUGGCUGUGGGUGUCUGUAUCUGUCUGAGUCCGUUGCUGGGUGGAGCCUCUCAGAAGACAGCAUGCUCCUGUCUGUAAGCAUAGCAGAGUAUCAUUAAUAGUUUAGGACUGGUGCUUGCCUAUGGGAUGGGUUUCUAGUCACACUGGUAUGGGAUCCAAACACAGACCCUUAUGCUUAUUAAUAGUGCCAGGGAUCAGUGCUUGCCCAUGGGGUGGCUCUCUCAUUACAUGGGGUAUGGGAUCCAAACACGGAUCCUUAGGCUUAUUUGGCAAGCAUAAAAAAAGCAUAAAAAAGAUGCUUAUUUCCCCACUGAGCCAUCUUCCAAGUCUGACUUUUUUCCUAAAAAAAUAACAAAACAACAACAACAACAACAACAAAAGCAAAACCUUCUAGCAUACUGAAAGGGACAAUGCAUGAACAUACAUGCCUCUCCCUCCAGUUUUAACAACUUAGCAUUUUGUUACUUUGUUAGUUUGUUGCUGGCAAGUCAACCAUCUGGAUCCAUUAAUGAUCUGUCUCCAUUUUCUGAUCUUCCUGUAGUCUCUUGUUCUUGUCUUCUUGAUAUUAUUUCUUGCAUUGCAGAAAUGAUAUUGAAUAGUCUUGGGUAGAGAUAAUUUGAUACCUGGGAGGCUUUCAUCCCGUGGGAAGGAUUUACAUUGUCUCCCUGUUGCCUGGCAGCUUGUGCGUCAGGAAUCGCCAUAAUCCAAUUUCAGGCAAGAGGAUGCCAAGCUGAAAUUCCUACAGGAGCCAGUCUGCUUCUUGUUCACACCUGCCAAGGUGACUCAGGAUCUCCUACCAGGCUCAAGAUUACAGCCCUUGUGACUCGAUACUGUCAAAAGUACUACUUAUGCUCUUGGCUGCCUCUUCUUGAGUUGGCAAAGGUCCCCAGAGGAUAACCGAGCAUUUGAUCUUACUAUCAUGGGCAAGGUACAGCAUACGCCAUCAGCUCUUCAUACUGCCUUCGGUGUUACCAUAGCAGAAACUCCAGGUUUCCCUAGAGUUAACAGCAACUUCUCCAGUCUCUCCUCCAGGCCUUAUUUCCACUGCCCCAAUGCUGUCUGUCCAGGUUCAAGGUUGAUUUCAAAGCUAGGCUUAUUUCCCUUCAGUACAAGGCCACUGGGCAUCUCUGUGCUCUGGGAAGUAUAUGCAAAAUCCCCAUUGGACUACAGUGCUUGGCACCGAACACAGAUGAAAUGUUUUGCUUUCUUUUUGUUGUCUUCUUGUUUUGCUGUUGUUUUGCGGAGGGAAACAUACCAGCCCCUCUCGUCAGCUGACAUCCCUUUCUUAAUCCUUCCACGAAUACUUUUAAUAACAAUCAUGAUAAGAUAUUUAAUAGAGUUCUUCAGUACCAGAAAUUAUUUCAUUGAUUCCUCUAGAAGUGUUCCCUCUCCCAUGUUCCUCUCCCCUCCCCUCCCUUUCCCUCCCCUCUCCUCCCCUCCCCUCCUUCCCCUUCCCUUUCCCCUCUCUUCCCUCCUCUUCUCUUCCCUCUGCUCUCCUCUUCUUCCUACUCCUUCCCUCCCCUCCUCUCCCUUUGCCUCCCCAUUCUUUCCUCCCCUAUCCCAUCUUCAAGUAGAUGUGACUCAAAGAGGACGUUGGUGGUAAGUUUGAGCAUGAGAGUCCAGGAGAAAAGUCAAGAUAUUUCCAUCACUGUUUUGCCUACCACCAGGUCUAUCAGCUCUGUCCCCACUGUGGGGGUUCAGCUCUUAACUGAGCACCUGCCAUCCAGAAGGUAAUAAGACCGUUGUCUCACUUUUAUCUCCUCUGGGUGGAACAGGUUUCCUAUUACCGAUAACUUGUGGGGUAUCUUACUUUUGAAGAGUAAAAUGCAGGCAUGACCUGGUGAUCCAUUGAACUGGCACAUUGUGAUUCUAACUAGAAAGUACACCAUGCUCCUGAGUAUUCCCAGAAGUCAGAGCACUGAAUUCUAAAGCAGUGUGGGUAGCCCAUAACUGGCCAGCUGACAUGUCUGUACCCUGCACAUCUCCUUUUAGGUGCUUAGAGACCCUUGUGUUAUGAACAUUCACUGUCCUAUCUGAGGCAGUAUGCUACCAAGCACAGUUGAGAGGCUUAUACUAUAUAAGAGGAAUAAAGCAGACAGUGUUCCCUGAAACCAUCUCAGAAGUGGUUUACCUCCAUACUCUUUACUGACCUUCGCAGUCUUGUUGGGAGAUGCCCUGAUCACAACAGCAUAUUCCUUUUUUUUUUUUUAAGAUUUAUUUAUUUAUUAUAUGUAAAUACACUGUAGCUGUCUUCAGACACUCCAGAAGAGGGCAUCAGAUCUUGUUACAGAUGGUUGUGAGCUACCAUGUGGUUGCUGGGAUUUGAACUCUGGACCUUUGGAAGAACAGUCGGGUGCUCUUACCCACUCAGCCAUCUCUCCAGCCCAGCAUAUUCCUUUUGACUUAAUAAUUCUUCUGUCUCCCUUCAUCAGUUCUUCUUAACUUGACCCUACCUUAAAGAUCUACUGUGGUUACUCACUCACUGCUGGGAUUUUGCUAUAGUUCGCAAGUCUGUUUGCAGGGGAGAGUCCCUAUCAUCCCCAGGAAGAAUAUUAUUUUGACAAGGGAUGAAGGCAACUACCCAUGAGAAAUCACAAAGACACGUGUUACUUGUCAAACUAAAUGAUUUACAGGAGAAUGUCAAAGAAACUGAAUAAGGGAAGGACCUUAAAUUUCCAUAUCUUAGGGUGGGAAGACAUAGUGGAGACAAGUAAGUCAGGCUAUGAGGAAAGUGUGGCAGAAGGGUCCAGGUCUGAUCCAGUUCACAGAGGAUCAAAGACUUGAACUAGGAAAUUCUAGAAAAGAAAAGAUUUGUUCACUAACUCCAUGUAAAGUUAACCUUUGAAAUUAUUUCCAGUCCAACUAACAACACAUAUGAGUAGCUAGGUCACUCUUGGGCACAUUUUGGAAGAUCUUCAAAGUUUGGAAACACUUUCAAACUAUUUGAUGUUGUGGCAUUUUCAAAUUCACUUAACGUGUUUAAGCUUGCUGGUCCAUAAGCUUGCACCUCAAGGGAAAUUACCAUGUCAGUCACUGCGAACAUGCUCUGUCUUUACCAGUGUUGCUCACAGACAGUUGAUUGAAAGCUGUACAAAGAAUAAUAGUCAAAUGGCAACUGAGCUAUUACAUAAUUUUUCAGAGUCUAAAGAAACAAGACGGUUAGUAUGAUAAGUUGCUUUUUCUGAGCUUGGAUGUUCCUUGUACAUUGGGGGCAAGGCAGACUAUUGAAACAAGUUAGGAGAUGGGAGCAUGGAGACUCAUUACUCAGGUAUGGAUUAUUUGUAGCUAUUUAUAUGGGCUGGGAGGUUUUGCUCAAGGCCAGUGCUAUAGAAUCCACACCUGUUUCUCUACUCAGUGUGUGAAGUCUUGACGUGGUAAAUGGAGAAAUCGUUGAGUCGGGAUGCAAAUCGGAGUUCAAGUCCUCUUGUAGCUGUUUGUUAUAGGACAGAGAGCAAGACUUUUUAUGUCCUCCUUCCUUAUCCAUACGUUAGGGAGAAUAAUACACUCUCUUUGACUAGAUUGUGGAGAUGGCUUAGGUGUGAGUGCUUACAAAUGUGUGACAGUUGUAGCCUCUAUCUUACACAAACAUCUGCUAGCUGUCCUAACCGAUGUGAGCCCGUGCUUGGGCAGGUUAUAAAUGUUCCUGGGAGGGAACUAUGCCUCUGGAUGGGGACCUUGUGGCAAUUUCCUUGAGUAUUUCCUUCCUGGCUUGUCUUUUACUUCUUUCUCCCUCUCUGAUUGCCACUCCUAAGGUUUUGGCACCCGGCCCCUAGGGUAUUUAUUUGUAUUCAUUACACACACUCCCCACGUGACUCCCUCGGCUCUGUGCCAAAGGUGGAAAUCGAAAUCAGUAAAAGCUUCCUUUAUUUGCGUUAUAACUAACUUUCAUUUCUUUCCUUCCCUUGCCGACAUCCGGGAACCCUCCUAAUGUAUACAAUGCAUUAAGAGCCCAUGAAAUAACACGUCUUCUGCAAAACUCACUUUCCUCUUCCUGGGGCCUUAUUAGCAAUCGGUGAUGUUAAAAUCGUCCCUCCUUAGCAGGACUCAUGAGAUGAUCCUUGACCCCAUUCUGUAAGGUGCCUGGUCUUGAACAUUUUGCUAAAAUUCGUAGAAAAACUUCUUCAAGGGAAGAAGGUCCCUUGUACCCCUCAAACUCCCCUUACUCACAACAAACGCCAACAAGGCCAAAACCUGGCCAAGCAUCACGUUACUUACUCUGAAAAUAAAAGUCUCUUGCAGUUUAUCCGUACUUUGUCACCCAGUCCCAGCAAUAGUGGGCUUGAUGGCCUGCAUGCUAACUAGUUUGUUAUUCUAGAGGUUGCAUUUGCCACACGGCUCCUGUGCUCCCAAGUACUCAUAAAUUCCCAUGAAAAGCAAACAACUAAAAGCAUAUUUUUUAAAUAUCCCUGAAGACAAAAUAAAUGCUAGCAACCCAUAUCUGUUGAUAGUCCCCCUUCAAGUAUUCUAUCCACCUAGACCAUGCCCUCCUAUAUUCUCAGAGGGGACUCUUUCUCCCAUGAGUUUAAGAGUGCUUUAAGAUCUGUAAGUUAAUUCAGAUGUGAGGGACACUGAAGCCUGACCUACUUAAAUUCAGGCAAAACAAUACAAUUAUGACCUGCAUUGUUCAUUUUUAUUAUGUACUUGCAACUAUAACUGCCCAGUUCAGAUGAAAAUAAUGAAAUUCCAAAUACCAAAAUGUAUUUUGGAGUUUCAAUGUGGGUAAUAAAGACCCUCAUCACUCAAAUAGUACCUGAGAUGAUAUCAAAUUGUUUCGUUUGUGCCAAGUUUGGUCAUAGUUGAUUGGCAGCAGUGAAUGGAGGAGAAACAUGAGAAGUCAGUUUGGGCUGGCAUAGCAAGUACCAUCUUUUAGCCACAGAUAUUCAUUCUUCACAGUCCAGAGGCUGGAGGUCAAGAUCUAGUUGCUGGCUGACUUAAGUUCUUGUAAGGGAUCAGGUUCUAACUUGCAGCCCACAGCCGUCUUGCUUGGGCUUUCUUUCAUGUACGAACGUGAACAGAAAGCAGGCUCUUCUCAGACGGAUCUUAUGAGCAUCCUAAGCUAGGCAUGGGGCUGACACUGUGACUUCAUUCAAUCCUAAUUGCCUUCCAAAGGUUCCAUGUGCAAACACCAUAACUCUGCAUCACAACCCCACUUCAUGAACUUGGGGGCAACACAAUUCUGCCCAUAGCACCUUAAUAAAACAAAGACACCAGCCUCAGUCAAAGGAGAAUCGUAUUUAUUUUUAAUUCUAGCUAUUUAAUGCAGAGAUAUAUUCCUCAAAGGAAAUCACUGGGUUUUGAGGACAUCUUGAUUACAAAUGUUCAUGGUUAUAGAUCCAAAUCUCCCAUGCCUUUUGUUUAAGAGUACAGAAAAAAGUGGAAUCAGUUUUUAGAUUAUUUUUGUCAUGGUUCUUGAAGUAUUAGUAUGUCUUCUGGUUGCAGUCAGUCAUUUGAAAUAUCUACAUAGGCGGAAUGGUUUGUUUUCAGAAUCUUGAUAAAUCUCAUGUAUGGACAGACAUUUAAUAAAUAUUUUCUAGGGUCAGUUCAACAGGAUGUCAUUUUCAAGGAAUAAUUUUCUUUUCAACUGAAUUAUGCAAGAGCUAACAAUUUAACGUUGAUAUUUCAGCCAUAAAGAACAAUCUACCA